UAGAUGGGCAGGUAUUGAUCAAAGCAGGAGAAGAGGAGAAGACUUCAAGAACAAAGGGGGAGAAGGAAUGAAAUUUCGACAUCGACAAUGACUUGAAGGUAUAAUAAGAAUCCAAUGGUUUCAAAUUUCUACAUCAUUUUUGGAUAAUUUGUUGUGCAGGAGAUCAUGACUUCGAGACUCCUAGUAGCAUCUAAGUCAUAGAGUCUGUUGUAGGAGUUUUGAUGUAAUUUGAAUUUCAUAUUGUAUUUGGAUUACACGCGAGGGGUUCGAUGUUUUGGUGAUGACAUUGAACUUCGUUUUCUCUUUAAAUUGUAAUUUUUGAGUUUGUGUGAGUUUUGUCACGAAAUUGCCAAAGGGGGAGAUUGUUAAGUAUUGUAUGUUGGCAAGUUUCGUGAAUUGAGUCGGCGUCUUGAAGGAGCAGUGCAUAUCGUCAAAGAUCGAAAAAUCCAAGAUUUCGAAGAAAUCAGAAAUAACUCACGAUAUGAAUCACGAUGCUAAGGUAAGUCUUUAAUUCAUGUUAUGGUGAUUUAUACUUAGUUAUAGACAUAGUUAGUUAAUUCGGAUUCGGCAAAAAUUCGGUACGGAUAUAAUUUGGAUAAAAUUCGUCUUCUAAUUUUUAAAUUCGUUGAAAAAUACGGCUAAAAAACGGAUUCAGUAAUUAUUCGGAUAUGUGAUUUAUACGGAUAUUAUACGUUCUUCAAUUAAAAAUUCGGGAUCAAAAAUUCGGCUAUUAAAUUAAAAUUAUUUUUUCUCAAGAUUUAUUCUAUUAGUAUAAAUACUCAUAUUUCUUAAGAAUAUAAGAAUAAAAAACUACAAAAUUAAGCUAAUUAAGUAAAAAAAAUAGCAAACUAUAUUAUCACUAUAAAUAAAAUGUUAUAUAAUAAUAUUUUUAUUAUAAAAAUAAAUUAUUAUAUAUAAUAAAUAAAUAUAUAUUUAUAAAUAAAAUUAUAUAUAUAUAUAUAUAUAUAAAGUUAAUGACUUAUGAGAGGGAGGUCCACGGUGCAUGUGGUCCAUGAGGCCAAAGUGGCCUCGUGGACCGUGCCCCAUCCUGUUCUCGAAAGCCCCGAUUUUCUUUCUUCUUCUUCCCAAACCCAGCGCCAUUUCUACCGCUUGCUCUCAAGUCUCAAGUCACAAACUCGAUUUUUUUUCCAAAAUUUAUAAAAUAAUUUUUUCAAAAAAAAUUUGAGGGACAACUAUUGUUUGGAAAAAAAAAUUUUAGUGAAAUUUUUUUUUUCGAGGAAUUUUACAGUGAUCCAAAGUUCUGCGAUGAAAGCGAUGGAGGAGGAGGACGUCGACGAUGGCGGCGACGACGCGGCCGCGAGUCCGCGACCGCCGUUUCUUUGGACGAAUCAUUCGCGAAUCGCAAAUGAUUCGCGGAUGAUUAUUAUUGCUGAAAAAAACGCGUUUUUUUACGCAUGUUUUGGAAAAAUUCGGAUGCCGGUGUUUAAUUCGGUUUUCGAAAAAGUCGCGAAUAAUUCACGAAUUAAACGCGAAUUAACUAACUAAGGUUAUAGACAUUAGAAUCAUGAAAAUCAAAGUUUAGUAGAUUAGAAAGUGCUUCGGAACUGUGUGAAACCCGAAAUAGUGCAAAAUCUGGAAAAUGCACAGUAUACCGGUACAACAUUGAAAGAGUACCGGUACUAACUUGGUUCCGGUACAACAUUACCUUUGUAACCGGUUAUCAAUGUUGAGUAGUUUUCUGUUUCGUCUUGGUGUGACCGGUAACAGCUUAUUUUAGUACCGGUACGCAGUGUAAAUUUCUGAAAACUUUCUAAUCCGACUCUAAUUGAUUCUAAAGUCUAUAAAUAAGGUAUUAGGGUUCUCUAACUCGGUGAACAUCAUGAGAAUACAUGUUUGAGAAACCCUAUAGGCUAAGUUUCUUCCAAAACCUAUUUUCUACAAAGAAGCCUCUUUUAGGUCAAAUCGAGAUAUUGUAAUUUGAUAUCUAUAUGUCGAUUUGAUCUACUCUUCGCUUGGAGUUUUCUUCUCUGGUUUUUAUCGAUACUCUAAGCGAAGGAUCACCAUAAUCAUAAUGUUCUUCAUGGACGGCGUCGUGGAUUCGGCGUGAUCAAGGCGGUUUGAGGAUUCGGAUCGUGGGCUCGUGGAUUCGAGUGGCGUUCGUGGAUUCAGAAGUGAACGAGGCGUUUGUGGAUUCGAACGUGAGGGCGUGGACAACCUGGUGGAUUGCGCGAGAUUCAUAGGAGGUUAAGAGAGGUCGAGUCCGUGGAGUCGGUAAUCACCUUGUAAUCUUUUCUCUUAGUGAAUUAUUUUUUCGUGUGUUGGUCC
rnacentral:lncRNA from 1 species